rnacentral:rRNA from 1 species
UACGUAGGGGGCUAGCGUUGUUCGGAAUUACUGGGCGUAAAGCGCACGUAGGCGGCUUUGUAAGUUAGAGGUGAAAGCCCGGGGCUCAACUCCGGAAUUGCCUUUAAGACUGCAUCGCUAGAAUUGUGGAGAGGUAAGUGGAAUUCCGAGUGUAGAGGUGAAAUUCGUAGAUAUUCGGAAGAACACCAGUGGCGAAGGCGACUCACUGGACACAUAUUGACGCUGAGGUGCGAAAGCGUGGGGAGCAAACAGGAUUAGAAACCCCAGUAGUCC